GGUAAAUGAUCCUAGAACUUCUAAACUCCCUACUUAAAAAUGAAGACCCACAUGUUAAAAGGCUAUUUUAUCUCUCUCCAGCAUGAAAAGUAAAACAAAUCUUUUUAAUUUCUUUCUUUCAACAGGUCACUCAGAGCAAUGAAUCACCUUCACAGUUUUAUGGACCCCCUUUCCCAUAUCCAUUGGGCCCAUAUUAUGUACCAUUCCUGUAUCGAGGAUAUCCUUGGUAUCCAUAUAAUUUUCCUAUUCCAAUACCUCUGUCUGACCCUACAACUACACCUUCUAGUGGCCAGUAAAUAAGAAAAAAAGUCCCACUGCAAUUUAAAAUGAAAUAGGUGGUCUCUACAAAGUUGAAUGUGAGCCACUUUCCUGAAGAGUCAAUAUUCCUGCUAAUAAAAUAAAAACAAAUAUAACUGAAGAAGCAUCA